GACGAACGCUGGCGGCGUGCUUAACACAUGCAAGUCGAACGGAAAGGCCCUGCUUUUGUGGGGUGCUCGAGUGGCGAACGGGUGAGUAACACGUGAGUAACCUGCCCUUGACUUUGGGAUAACUUCAGGAAACUGGGGCUAAUACCGGAUAGGAGCUCCUGCUGCAUGGUGGGGGUUGGAAAGUUUCGGCGGUUGGGGAUGGACUCGCGGCUUAUCCGCUUGUUGGUGGGGUAGUGGCUUACCAAGGCUUUGACGGGUAGGCGGCCUGAGAGGGUGACCGGCCACAUUGGGACUAAGAUACGGCCCAGACUGCUACGGGAGGCAGCAGUGGGGAAUAUUGCACAAUGGGCGGAAGCCUGAUGCAGCAACGCCGCGUGCGGGAUGACGGCCUUCGGGUUGUAAACCGCUUUCGCCGGUGACGAAGCGUGAGUGACGGUAAUGGGUAAAGAAGCACCGGCUAACUACGUG
rnacentral:rRNA from 1 species